rnacentral:lncRNA from 1 species
AGAGCACUCUGUCCUCGCUUAUGGGCUUCAAACUGCACCAUUAGGAACAAAGUGCUAUGUCCUCGGUAACUACCCACUUAGAUGUGCACAAAGUGGAGCAGCCAUCUACUAGGACUGUGUCUUGGAUUUUGCAGCCAGCAAGUAUUCAUAUGCGGGGCAUAAGCUGCAGGUCCCCCUCCAGGGCAGGACACGUGUGCCAUCAGUGA